rnacentral:rRNA from 1 species
GUGAACGUUACCAAACUGUUGCCUCGGCGGGAUCUCUGCCCCGGGUGCGUCGCAGCCCCGGACCAAGGCGCCCGCCGGAGGACCAACCAAAACUCUUUUGUAUACCCCCUCGCGGGUUUUUUAUAUCUGAGCCAUCUCGGCGCCUCUCGUAGGCGUUUCGAAAAUGAAUCAAAACUUUCAACAACGGAUCUCUUGGUUCUGGCAUCGAUGAAGAACGCAGCGAAAUGCGAUAAGUAAUGUGAAUUGCAGAAUUCAGUGAAUCAUCGAAUCUUUGAACGCACAUUGCGCCCGCCAGUAUUCUGGCGGGCAUGCCUGUCCGAGCGUCAUUUCAACCCUCGAACCCCUCCGGGGGGUCGGCGUUGGGGAUCGGCCCUUUACGGGGCCGGCCCCGAAAUACAGUGGCGGUCUCGCCGCAGCCUCUCCUGCGCAGUAGUUUGCACACUCGCAUCGGGAGCGCGGCGCGUCCAUUGCCGUAAAACACCCAACUUUCUGAAAUGUUGACCUCGGAUCAGGUAGGAAUACCCGCUGAACUUAAGCAUAUCAAUAAGCGGAG